rnacentral:lncRNA from 1 species
GAUGAGCAUCAGGGCCAUCUGAAGACCAGGUGUUUCCCAUAUUGAAGUAGAGUCAGGCUUUUUAUAGCAGAGAGGAAAGUUGCCUACGAGUGAUUUUGUCUUGACAGAAAUUUUCAGCUUCGAAACUUGAGAUUCAGGUUGAUGACUGUCAUAUGAGAACUUUUAAGGACUGCUAAGAUGAAAUUUUGGAACAGAAUGUCUGCAGGAUUUCAAGGUGUGAAGGACACACUCUUUAGAAGCUUCUUGACUAUUUUCCCCCGAUGAACAUCACUGCUUUCUGUCAGCCAAGUCCUUUGAGAUCAAUAUCUCUGUAUGUGACUAUUGCCUGUAGUCUUCACACAAAUGAGAUUACACACAUACACACAUGCACACUGCACAAGAAAACUCAAGCUCUUUGUUAGAAGAUAAUCCUCCAGGCUUCUAUAAAGGUGUGGAUCCCAGGCAAUGCUCAACCAAUUAUGGACCUGUGCAAGAUAAUUAUAGCUCUGCUGCCAUCUUCCGUGGUCCCUAAGGACCAUGUUUGCUCUUGAAUACAGUAAUUUCUAAAAUGGAUUUUGAAGAUAGUGAACAGCAGUUCUUUCUCCAAGUAUAAACCACCGGUAUACACUUUGGACUGUGUCUUGGGUUUCAGCUGCUCAUAAAAGGCUUUUGAUCUUGUCAGAGUAUCAAUAAUUGAUUUACUAUGAAGUUUCAGCAGAGGCUACAUGGGAAACAAGGGUUUCGACUUUCUCAUAAUCUCAAGUAAGUGAGCCUAGAAGGUGUUGUUCACAGAGAUUUGGGUCCAUCAUUCCAAUUACUGAAAGGUCAAUGACUUGAACAAUUAGACAAUCCAUUAGCCGCAGUCUAGGAAUAUAUAGAAAUAAACAUUAUUAAGGAGUGCUUUAGAAUAUAUGUACAUGUUAUACACACUCUUUUUAAUUCUACCAGCCCUGACAAGGCUGAUUCAUCAUCUCCCAAGAUCUGGGAAGCAGUAUUAGUAAAGCAGUCCAUAAGCUUGAC